rnacentral:rRNA from 1 species
ACAUCCAGAGAACUUAGCAGAGAUGCUUUGGUGCCUUCGGGAACUCUGAGACAGGUGCUGCAUGGCUGUCGUCAGCUCGUGUUGUGAAAUGUUGGGUUAAGUCCCGCAACGAGCGCAACCCUUAUCCUUUGUUGCCAGCGGCUCGGCCGGGAACUCAAAGGAGACUGCCGGUGAUAAACCGGAGGAAGGUGGGGAUGACGUCAAGUCAUCAUGGCCCUUACGGCCAGGGCUACACACGUGCUACAAUGGCGCAUACAAAGAGAAGCGACCUCGCGAGAGCAAGCGGACCUCAUAAAGUGCGUCGUAGUCCGGAUUGGAGUCUGCAACUCGACUCCAUGAAGUCGGAAUCGCUAGUAAUCGUAGAUCAGAAUGCUACGGUGAAUACGUUCCCGGGCCUUGUACACACCGCCCGUCACACCAUGGGAGUGGGUUGCAAAAGAAGUAGGUAGCUUAACCUUCGGGAGGGCGCUUACCACUUUGUGAUUCAUGACUGGGGUGAAGUCGUAACAAGGUAAGCGUACUACA